rnacentral:rRNA from 1 species
UACGAGGGGGGCAAAUGUUGUUCGGAAUCACUGGGCGUAAAGGGAGCGUAGGCGGGUUUUUAAGUCAGGUGUUUAAUCCCGGGGCCCAACCCCGGACAGGCACUUGAAACUGGGAAUCUUGAAUAGUGGAGAGGUCAGUGGAAUUGGGGGUGUAGCGGUGGAAUGCGCAGAUAUCAGGAGGAACACCGGUGGCGAAGGCGGGUCUCGUGGGCCGAUGACUGACGCUGGAGGAGCGAAAGCGUGGGAGCGAACAGG